AGAACGUUAUUACGCUGCAUAGUGGAUAACUAGGCUCUAACGCCGAUGAAGGGCGUGGCAAGCUGCGAAAUGCCCUGGCGCUGUUAGUAGAGGCGAUCGAAAGCAGCAGAGGGCAAACCGAAUCCCAAAGCGCGAGUUUUGGGAGAUGUGGGGUUGCGGGCCUUUUUACAACUCAAAGGCAUUUAGUUGAAGUCUGCUGGAAAGCAGUGCCUCAGAGAGUGAUAGCCUCGUAAGCGAAAGCUGGAGAGUUGAUUGAAGGAUUCCGAGAGUAUGGUGCAUUGGAUGUUGCGCCAAAACAUUCCACUCAACUUGUGGAAACCCUAAAUACAGGUUAGAGACCGAUAGCAAACUAGUACCGAGAGGGAAAGUUGAAAAGCACCCUUAACAGGGAUUUGAAAAGCACUUGAAACUAUGCAGUAACAUUCAAGACGCAGCAUGGAAGAAGCGAAGCGCUUUGAAGCAAGAGCUCGCAAGGGCUUGAGCGAAAAGCGCUGAUCAGUGUUGCGUCGUUCGUCAUGAAUCACGAGCAAGGGAGUUUAACUCAGUGGCGAAACUAACCCACUUAGAAUGUGGGGGAGUUGUAAGGAAACUGGAAAGCCCGCAGUUCGCAAGAAUGAGGGGCGAGGUUCGAAAGAGCUUUCAGUCACUGGGUUAAGACCUGAAACCAUUUGAUAUAGGCCUGGGCAGGUUGAAAUCUUUCUUCCGAAAGAUGGAGGACCGCAUUCAGUGCUAGUCUAACUGCUUGAGUGACCUGGGUCUCGCAGUAAAAUGCUAAUCGCAAAUGGUAAUAGCAGGUUCCUUCCGAAUUGCCCCUCAGGGCAGCGUGCUUGGAGAAUGCGGAUGGGGUAGAGUUACUGAUUAGGAAUCUCCGGUUGGAAACUUCCGGCUUUCUUGUCAAACUCCCAAUCUAUUCGCUUCAGAGAAGAGCACAGUAGGGCGUGCCGGGUAAGCCAGUACGCCAAGAAGGGAACAACCUGAACUGUGGUUAAGGCCCAAAAGUACUGGUCAAGUGUUAAUCAGAAAAGCGUCAUUGCCCUAAAACAAUGGGGAGGUUGGCUUAGAAGCAGCCAUCCUUUAAAGAAUGCGUAACAGCUCACCCAUCGAGGACAAUGGUCUUGAAAAUAAACUGGGCUAAACCAGUCGCCGAUACCACGGACCACAAUCCUUAAGGAUUGUGAUGGAGUAGGAAGGUGGUUUGAUAGCUUCGAAGCAAGGGAGUAAUUUCUUGUGGAGCUGUUAAAUAUAUGGAUCCUUGCGCUAGUAAUAACGUAGAAAGGUGAGAAUCCUUUCCGCCGAAAGUGCCAGGGUUCCUUAGCACUGAUCGUCAGCUAAGGGUUAGCCGGUCCUAAGCUUCCGCGCAAAACGCUGGAAGCGAAAGGGAAACGCGUUCAUAAUCGCGUGCUUUGCAAAUACGAUAUCGGCAACGAAAGCUCUAAUGACUGACACUUUGGGCUAGGCAGUGCAUGCCAGUCAGCAUGUUUAACAAGCAUAAACAUCCGGAGAACCGUAAUGGUGAGAAGGACGUUAAAGCUUGGAAUAGGCGAAAGCUACUGCCAAGGCCUGGAGUCCUUGAAAAAGCAUUAGGGAAGAAUUUUGCAAAACCGUACCGAGAUCCGAGAAGGGUGUCACUAGCUCAAUAGGCUAAGGCGUGUCAGGGUUACCUAGUUUAGGGAAAUCGGCAAUAUUGGCCCCGUAUCUUAGGUAUAAGGGGUGCCUGGUCCAUGUUCUGGACUAGGUUUCAAUAACUAAAGGAGUCCGACUGUUUAGCAAAAACACAAGUGACUGCGAGAGCGAAAGCUUGAGAAUAGUCGCCGACUUCUGCUCACUGCCAGUACGUGAAAGCUUGUUUCAACGAGUCUAAGCGCUGGUAAAGAGCGGGCCUAACUCUGAGGCUCUCAUGGUAGCGUAAUACCUUGUCGGUUUAAUGCCGACUUGCACCAAGGAAGUAACGAGAUUCCUGCUGUCCCAAACUUGGGCCUGAUGAAAUCACUAGGGGGUGAAUAGGCCCCCAAACUCCAACGGGAAAAGAAGACCCCACAGAAGUUUACUACAAUCUGCUGCUGUUGCGUGAUUUUUUAUGUUGAGCGUAAAUGGGAGCAUUAGAAGCGGUUUCGCCAGGAGCCGUGGAUGCGAAAGUGAAACACCAUUCAUGAAAGAUUACGCUCCUAACCAUUCGCGAGAAUGGGACAACAGUUGACGGGUAGUUUGACUGGGGUGGUACACCCCUGAAAAAGUAUCAGGGGUGCCCAAAGGUCUGCUCACGCGAGUCAGAAAUUCGCGGUAGAGUGCAAAAGCAAAAGCAGGCUUGACAGUAACCUACUCAGCAAGGGUUGCUGAUUCGAAAGAAGGGUUUAGCGAACGUCAGUGUCUCCGAUUUUGGGAGCCUGGUCUAACAGUGAACUUACCUUGGGGGUAAUUGAGUGGUAGCGGGAGAGAGUACACAUCGACCCCGCUGUUUGCGACCUCGCCGUCGUCUCUUGGCAUCCUGGCUGUGCAUAAGCAGCCAAGGGUGGAGGUGUUAACUCAUUAAAGCCGAACGUUAGUUGGGUUAAGAACGGUGCGAGCCAGUUUGGUUACGCGGUAGAUUAUAAAAGCUGAAAGCAUCUAAGCUUGAAGAAUCCCCUGAAAAGAAGCAAUCAUUCCGGAAACCAGUUUUCGCGAGAAGGCUGGUUAAGGACAAGCGCGCCCGUAGAACACGGGUUUGAUAGGUUGCGGAUGUAAGCACGAAGCGCAAGCGACGUGUUAAGUCCAGCAAUACUAAAAGCGCAACAAGUUCUCUUAACAAUUAAGUCUGCAAUCCUAUGCAAUCUUUUUAUUUUUUAAAAAUAGGAAUUUUUUCCAAAAGCACAGCCGCAAGGCUGGGAAAAAAAAUCAUUUAUUUUGGGGCACAA
rnacentral:rRNA from 1 species